rnacentral:rRNA from 1 species
UACGGAGGGGCGAGCGUUAUUCGGAAUUAUUGGGCGUAAAGGGCGCGUAGGCGGCGCGAUAAGUCAAAGGUGAAAUCCCUCGGCUCAACUGAGGAACUGCCUUUGAAACUGUCGUGCUUGAGUCCGGGAGGGGUAGCGGAAUUCCCAGUGUAGCGGUGAAAUGCGUAGAUAUUGGGAGGAACACCAGUGGCGAAGGCGGCUACCUGGACCGGUUCUGACGCUGAUGCGCGAAAGCGUGGGUAGCAAACAGG